rnacentral:tRNA from 1 species
AAGGCUUUAGCUUAAUUAAAGUGUCUGAGUUGCAUUCAGAAGAUGUGAGAUAGAGUCUUGCAAGUUUUA